rnacentral:rRNA from 1 species
AUUGAACGCUGGCGGCAGGCCUAACACAUGCAAGUCGAACGAGUGGCGUACGGGUGAGCAAGGUCCGGGAAACUGCGCGAUGGAUGGCUAUGACUACUGGAAACGGUAGCUACAACCGCACUCCACCGGAUGUGUCGUCAUGGGAUUAGCUAGUCGGUGGGGUAAAGGCUAACCGAGGCGACGAUCCCGAGCUGGUUUGAGAGGAAGACCAGCCACACUGGGACUGAGACACGGUCCAGACUCCUACGGGAGGCAGCAGUGGGGAAUAUUGCACAAUGGGCGAAAGCCUGGUGCAGCCAGGCCGCGUGUGUGAAGAAGGCCUUCGGGUUGUAAAGCACUUUCAGCGGGGAGGCGUUACCCGCAGAGAAAGCACCGGCUAACUCCGUGCCAGCAGCCGCGGUAAUAC